GACGAACGCUGGCGGCGUGCCUAAUACAUGCAAGUAGAACGCUGAAGGAGGAGCUUGCUUCUCUGGAUGAGUUGCGAACGGGUGAGUAACGCGUAGGUAACCUGCCUGGUAGCGGGGGAUAACUAUUGGAAACGAUAGCUAAUACCGCAUAAGAGUAGAUGUCGCAUGACAUUUGCUUAAAAGGUGCAAUUGCAUCACUACCAGAUGGACCUGCGUUGUAUUAGCUAGUGGGUGAGAUAACGGCUCACAAAGGCAACGAUACAUAGUCGACCUGAGAGGGUGAUCGGCCACACACGGGAUGAGACACGGCCCAGACUCCUACGGGAGGGAGCGGUAGGGAAACUUCGGCAAUGGACGGAAGUCUGACCGGGCAAAGCGGCGUGAGUGAAGAAGGUGUUCGGAUCGUAAAGCUCUGUUGUAAGAGAAGAAAGAGUGUGAGAGUGGAAAGUUCACACUGUGACGGUAUCUUACCAGAAAGGGACGGCUAACUACGUG
rnacentral:rRNA from 1 species